AUAAGGGUCCAUGGUGGAUGCCUUGGAGCUGUCCGGCGAUGAAGGGCGUGGCAAGCUGCGAAAAGCCUCGGUGAGGAGCAAACAUCCGUUGAACCGGGGAUACCCGAAUGGGGUAACCCAUGCACCCAUGAUGGUGCAUAUCAUGUAGUGAAUACAUAGCUAUAUGAAGCGAGACCUGGGGAACUGAACCAUCUAAGUACCCAGAGGAAAAGAAAUCAAUUGAGAUUCCCUUAGUAGCGGCGAGCGGACGGGGAAUAGCCCAAACCAGUAUUGUUACGGCGAUAUUGGGGUUGUAGGGCGCGAGAUGUGGAAUGUCUAGGGAUAAAAGAACGGUACUGGGAAGGCCGGCCAAAGAGGGUGAUAGCCCCGUAAUUGAAAUCCUGAUGACUCCUAUUGCGUACCUGAGUACGGCGGGACACGAGAAACCCUGUCGGAAUCUGGGGGGACCACCCUCCAAGGCUAAAUACGAGACAGCUACCGAUAGCGAACGAGUACCGUGAGGGAAGUGGUGAAAAGCACCCCGGGAGGGGAGUGAAAUAGAACCUGAAACCGUGGACCUACAAGUGGUCGGAGUUGGACUUCGGUCUGAUGACGGCGUGCCUUUUGUAGAAUGAGCCUGCGAGUUACCAUAUCAUGCGAGGUUAAGGUACUGUAGUACCGGAGCCGGAGGGAAACCGAGUCUUAACUGGGCGAAUGAGUAUGGUGUGGUAGACCCGAAGCCGAGUGAUCUACCUAUGAUCAGGCUGAAGCUCCGGUAACACGGAGUGGAGGGCCGAACACUAGUCUGUUGAAAAAGGCAGUGAUGAAUUGUGGGUAGGAGUGAAAGGCUAAACAAACUCGGAGAUAGCUGGUUCUCCCCGAAAUGGCUUUAGGGUCAGCGUCAUAUGAUCAAUGCCGGAGGUAGAGCACUGAUUAGGCUAGGGCCUGUCACAGGGUACCAAACUUAGUCAAACUCCGAAUGCCGGUAUUUAAAGUAUGGCAGUGAGACUGUGGGUGAUAAGAUUCAUGGUCGAAAGGGAAACAGCCCAGACCGUCAGCUAAGGUCCCUAAACUAUGCUAAGUGGAAAAGGAAGUAUGAUUGCCCAGACAGCCAGGAGGUUGGCUUAGAAGCAGCCACUCCUUGAAAGAGUGCGUAAUAGCUCACUGGUCGAGUAGUCAUGCGCCGACAAUUUAACGGGGCUAAGCAUAGUACCGAAGCUACGGCAUUGUCAUUUAUGACAGUGGGUAGGGGAGCAUUCUGUAAGCCGACGAAGGUGAUCCGGGAGGAUUGCUGGAGGUAUCAGAAGUGAGAAUGCAGGCAUGAGUAACGAAAAGGCAGGUGAGAUCCCUGCCCGCCGAAAGCCGAAGGUUUCCUGGGUAAAGUUUGUCUUCCCAGGGUUAGUCGGUCCCUAAGGCGAGGCCGAAAGGCGUAGUCGAUGGGAAACAGGUUAAUAUUCCUGUACAUCUAGUAAUUUCGAUGGAGUGACGCAUAGGGGGAAGUCCUGCCGGGUGUUGGUUAUCCCGGUUUAAGCAGUAAGGCGUUGAAGAGUGCAGGUAAAUCCGCACUUUGAGUUGAGCUGCCAAGAGUAGUGAUCCUACGGGUGAUCGAAGAGGGUGGACUCGUCGUGCCAAGAAAUAGCUUCUAAGGUUAGGUUACUAGGUACCGUACCGCAAACCGACACAGGUAGGCGAGCUGAGAAUGCUAAGGCGUACGGAAGAACUCACGUUAAGGAACUCGGCAAAUUACAUACGUAACUUAGGGAGAAGUAUGGCCUACUCAGGGAUGAGAGGUUGCAGAGACCAGGCCCGAGCGACUGUUUACCAAAAACACAGGUCACUGCGAACCAGCAAUGGGAAGUAUAGUGACUGACACCUGCCCGGUGCUGGAAGGUUAAGAGGAGCUGUUAUUCCUUGAGAAGAAGCAGUGAAUUGAAGCCCCAGUAAACGGCGGCCGUAACUAUAACGGUCCUAAGGUAGCGAAAUUCCUUGUCGGGUAAGUUCCGACCUGCACGAAUGGUGUAACGAUCUGGGCACUGUCUCAACGUGAGAUCCGGUGAAAUUAAAGUCUCGGUGAAGAUGCCGAGUACUCGUGGUUAGACGGAAAGACCCCGUGAACCUUUACUGCAUCCUGAUAUUGAUGCGUGGAUUAUGAUGUGUAGGAUAGGUGGGAGACUAUGACUCCUGGUCGUCAGGCUGGGAUGAGUCGUUGGUGAAAUACCACCCUUUAUGAUUCAUGUAUCUAACGCUGACCCUGAAGCGGGUUAGUGGACAUUGUCAGGUGGGCAGUUUGACUGGGGCGGUCGCCUCCUAAAGCGUAACGGAGGCGCGCGACGGUUCUCUUAUUACGGUUGGAAAUCGUGAUGUAAGUGUAAAGGCAUAAGAGAGCUUGACUGCAAGAGAGACAUUUCGAGCAGGUACGAAAGUAGGUCUUAGUGAUCUGGCGGUAAACCGAGUGGAAGGGCCGUCACUUAACGGACAAAAGGUACUCCGGGGAUAACAGGCUGAUUUUGCCCAAGAGUUCACAUCGACGGCAAAGUUUGGCACCUCGAUGUCGGCUCAUCGCAUCCUGGGGCUGGAGCAGGUCCCAAGGGUAUGGCUGUUCGCCAUUUAAAGCGGUACGUGAGCUGGGUUCAGAACGUCGCGAGACAGUUCGGUCCCUAUCUGCCACGAGCGUUGGAUGUUUGAGAGGGUCUGUUUUUAGUACGAGAGGACCGAAAUGGACGAACCUCUGGUGUACCAGUUAUCCUGCCAAGGGUAAGUGCUGGGUAGCUACGUUCGGACGGGAUAACCGCUGAAAGCAUCUAAGUGGGAAGCCCCCCUCAAGAUGAGACAUCCCUUUACCUUCUAAGGUAACUGAAGGAACCUGGGAGAUUACCAGGUUGAUAGGCCGGCUGUGGAAGUGUGGAAACAUAUGCAGCAGACCGGUACUAAUUUUCCGUGAGGCUUGACC
rnacentral:rRNA from 1 species